rnacentral:rRNA from 1 species
GACGAACGCUGGCGGCGUGCUUAACACAUGCAAGUCGAACGGAAAGGCCCUGCUUUUGUGGGGUGCUCGAGUGGCGAACGGGUGAGUAACACGUGAGUAACCUGCCCUUGACUUUGGGAUAACUUCAGGAAACUGGGGCUAAUACCGGAUAGGAGCUCCUGCUGCAUGGUGGGGGUUGGAAAGUUUCGGCGGUUGGGGAUGGACUCGCGGCUUAUCAGCUUGUUGGUGGGGUAGUGGCUUACCAAGGCUUUGACGGGUAGCCGGCCUGAGAGGGUGACCGGCAACAUGGGGAUGGAGAUCCGGCCCAGACCCGUAGGGGGGGCAGAAGGGGGGAAUAUGGCACAGGGGGCGGAGGCCUGAUGCAGCAACGCCGGGUGGGGGAUGAGGGCUUGCGGGUUGAAAACCGUUUUCGCCGGUGACGAAGGGUGAGGGAGGGAAAGGGGAAAAGAACCACCGCCAACCUACGU